AUUGAACGCUGGCGGAAUGCUUUACACAUGCAAGUCGAACGGCAGCACGGACUUCGGUCUGGUGGCGAGUGGCGAACGGGUGAGUAAUGUAUCGGAACGUGCCCAGUCGUGGGGGAUAACGUAGUGAAAAUUACGCUAAUACCGCAUACGAUCUAUGGAUGAAAGCGGGGGAUCGCAAGACCUCGCGCGAUUGGAGCGGCCGAUAUCAGAUUAGGUAGUUGGUGGGGUAAAGGCCCACCAAGCCAACGAUCUGUAGCUGGUCUGAGAGGACGACAAGCCACACUGGAACUGAGACACGGUCCAGACUCCUACGGGAGGCAGCAGUGGGGAAUCUUGGACAAUGGGCGAAAGCCUGAUACAGCCAUUCCGCGUGCAGGAUGAAGGCCCUCGGGUUGUAAACUGCUUUUGUACAGAACGAAAAGGUUUCUACUAAUACUAGGAGCUCAUGACGGUACUGUAAGAAUAAGCACCGGCUAACUACGUGCCAGCAGCCGCCGUAA
rnacentral:rRNA from 1 species